UAGCGGAUCUCGGAUCCAGAUCCGAGAAUCCGAGGGCUUUCCGUCAUCGUCUUCCUCGCGCGGUGCGCUGUCUCCAUCGAAGGGAUUUCGACGAUUACACCCGUGAGGAGAGGCGAUGCUGUGAGUUAUUGAUUUCAGCAGGAUCGUGAGCUCGAGGAGAACUAAGAUUUCUAUUCAGUUAUAAUCUCCGUGGUCAUUCACUUCAUAAAGGUAGGUUUUUUUUUCAAUGACAGAGCUAGUUGAUGAUUGAGCUUUGGUCUGAUAUUCCUUUAGUUUCUCCGGAGACCGACACCGCCGAACGAACUUGUCGAACUUCGCUCUUUACUUGCCCAAACGCCGCCGCAGGUAGAAUGGAGGCUGUGAAAAGAUCGAGGAAGCUCUGGUGAAUGUUUUCGGAUAAAACCUGGAGCUCUACGCACUGGAAUCAUCCACUCAUAUGGUGAUCUCAACCUACCUUAGGCAAUGCUGAGGGUUAGGUGUUUAUUUGAGCUCUCAAGCCAUUAGGGGAGAGCCUAUAGGAGUUUUCCAAUUGUCUAGGAACAUCCAGGAGGCAGGAGAUGGCCAGGAAGUCUUGGAGUGCUUAUACAACUUGGCACUUUUGGCUUGAGCAAAGGCUGGUUAUGGCCGUUGGAUCAACACUAGGCUCCAUUUGGUUGAGCCUUGGGAUCUUGGGAAAGAGCGUUGUAGACUCGAUUUGGGCUGGAAUCUGCAAGUUUGGUGGCCAAUGAAAGUCAGCAAAUACGUAAUUGCUAUAGUUCUGGCUUCUUCGUUUUGCUGAGUAGAGCUUGUCACCUAGUAAUGAAAAAAAAGUGAUACUUAGGAUGUUGUCAUGUGGAAAAUUGUUUGUGGUGAUGUGUCUGACUUCUAACAAUUUGAUAUGAACAAUUAUCAGGGAACUACCUUGCGUAUGGAUCGAAAUAUGAGGGGAGAUUUAUUGUAAGGAAUUGUUGAUACUGGAGAGUGAGACAAGAUUGUGAGCCAGAGGAUGUGGUGAUGACCGGCAAGGAGGAGUCUUGAAGGAGGUGCAUUGUGGUUUCUUUUUCAGUUCUUUGUGACAACACUUGAGGUCCCUACAUGUUGUCGCAGAAGCAUUCUUGUUACCUGAUAGAUGAACUGCAAGCCAAAUGUGAAUCACCCUUCUACAAGUAGGAACAACUUAUAUACAAUUCAGGAUACUUUGGAGUUAAAACAUUUUGAAAUGUUACUUAAGUAGAUCUAUAUUAAUGGAAUUGUGAUUCAGACUCUAUCUACUUAACUGUUAGAUACUCAUGCGUAUGUUCCUUGGGCUUUCUUUAUCUGAUACCAACGAGCUUAAGUUUGAUCGUUCUCAGCAACUGUUCAAGUUUUGCUGUAGAUGUAUGUGAUGCUUGCUUAACUAAAGUCCAACUUUAAAAGAAAACUUUUAACUUUGUGUAAAAAUAUCCCUUAAACUGAAAUUUUAUUACAAUUAUAUGAAAAUCUUAAUAAAAAAUGCUGAAGAUUAAUGGGCAUUUGACCUCAAAAAUUCCUAAAUGUUAUUUACACGUAAACCUCAAUAUCCUCGCAUGUUUUUCAUGAAAUUUCGUAUUUAAAUCCUUAAAAUCUAGUCAUUAGAUGAGAAGAAUAUGAUCCUUGUUUCUGAUAGUAAAAUAUUUCCAAGGGUGCCCAAGCAUGAUUAGAUGUUGCAGAUCAGUAUUUUCCUUCUAACAUUUUGUUUUCUUGUAGCUGAGGUUUAGGGUGUUUAGGGUCGGCCACAUAUAGCUAGGAAAGGCUUAUGAUAAUGAUGAGCAAAACAUGUUAAUUCAAAUACAUACCAGAAUACUCUGUUUUUAUUAGUCGUAAUUAUGUCUCAAACAUAGAUAUUGACUAUUAUUUUAGCAGAAAUAAAGAUUCUUUCAAAUGACUAGCAAACAAAUAUUUUCACUAAGUCUCUUGGAGGUCCUCAAAUAAACAUCUGUAACUAGCUUCGGACAAAUGACUUAUUUGCUUGCAAUUGAGUUGAAGUGCUGGAUAGAAUAGUUAUUUUGAAUAUUUCUAACUGUCAUUAGUUUGUUAUUGAAUUUCUUCCUUAUUUGGAACAAAAGAUAAUAAAAUAUUUUUUUCUCUUUAUUAAAUGCAUUUAACUGGCGGUAUGUACCAUGUUAAUAAGUUUUUGUCUUGUCAACUAGUGUCUUAAACAUGAAUGAAUUUCGAUUCAAUAUGUCUAAAGGCAUAUGUGUAUCUUCAAAUCUAUUUAAGGCUAGAAGUCGUCUGCUGGGAUCAAUCAAACCUCUUCUAUAUUGACUAAAUAAGAAGGUAAAAAAGAUUAGGUAGUCAUUCUUUUAAAAACACAAGGUAUCAAAACCUUAGCUAGAAAAUCAUAUUUAUUAUGAUCAAAUUUAUUCAUGCAUCAGGUAGUUCAUUGCCUUUAAUUGAAUCUACUUUAAUAUUUGCUGAAGAAUCAUAUGCUAAGUCUGGAAUUAAUGCUAAGAAGUCAAUUGGGAGAGCUGGUGGUGGAAUCAGGAAGAUGUUAUGAGUGUCUCCAGCCCAUGCCCACUAAAUUUUUUGAAAAGAAGUCAUACGUUCUAGGGGAUGGAAGUGUAAAACACCGUAACGAAACAAACAAGAAGUUAAAAGAAGCAAAAAGUAAAAUACACGAACGAGGAUUUAACGCGGAAAAAUCCGAAAUAGGAAAAAAAAAAAAACACAAAACAACACCACACCAAGAAAUCCACCAUGAAAAUUGGGAAAAAUAAGUAGAUAUCUCUCUUCUCUUUCACUCUUUCCUUCUCUCCUCUCUUGCAUUGCUCUCACAUUCAAAACAAAGAAAAAGACAAUAACACCAGGGGGUGUCACCAUUAAGAAAAAUGAGAAAGAAAAAGUGUCAAGUCCCCCCACAGCAUUGUGACGCUUAGACCCCUGAUCCCGAUUGUUUAUCGUUGCUGCAGUGCUCUAACCUGCAUCACUGCGGCACUCCAUAGCGCUGUGGCGCUGAAUCUAGAGUCAUUUUUUCCAAUAAACUUUGCAGCACUGUGACGCUCAGGAACACAAUGCCGUGGCACUC